UACGUAGGGGGCAAGCGUUGUCCGGAAUCAUUGGGCGUAAAGCGCGUGUAGGCGGCUCGAUAAGUCCCCUCUGAAAGUCCAGGGCUCAACCCUGGGAUGCGGGUGGAUACUGUCGGGCUCGAGUCCGGAAGAGGCGAGUGGAAUUCCCGGUGUAGCGGUGAAAUGCGCAGAUAUCGGGAGGAACACCAAUGGCGAAGGCAGCUCGCUGGGACGUGACUGACUCUGAGACGCGAAGGCCAGGGGAGCAAACGGG
rnacentral:rRNA from 1 species